GUAGGUGGCAAGCGCUGUCCGGAAUUAUUGGGGCGUAAAGCGCGCGCAGGCGGUUCUUUAAGUCUGAUGUGAAAGCCCACGGGCUCAACCGUGGAGGGUCAUUGGAAACUGGAGAACUUGAGUACAGAAGAGGAAAGCGGAAUUCCACGUGUAGCGGUGAAAUGCGUAGAGAUGUGGAGGAACACCAGUGGCGAAGGCGGCUUUCUGGUCUGUAACUGACGCUGAGGCGCGAAAGCGUGGGGAGCAAACAGGAUUAGAUACCCUGGUAGUCCACGCCGUAAACGAUGAGUGCUAAGUGUUAGGGGGUUUCCGCCCCUUAGUGCUGCAGCUAACGCAUUAAGCACUCCGCCUGGGGAGUACGGCCGCAAAGGCUG
rnacentral:rRNA from 1 species